rnacentral:rRNA from 1 species
AAGACCUUGCGCUUUUGGAGCGGCCGAUGUCUGAUUAGCUUGUUGGUGAGGUAAAAGCUUACCAAGGCUUCGAUCAGUAGCUGGUCUGAGAGGACGGCCAGCUACACUGGGACUGAGACACGGCCCAGACUCCUACGGGAGGCAGCAGUGGGGAAUUUUGGACAAUGGGGGCAACCCUGAUCCAGCCAUGCCGCGUGAGUGAAGAAGGCCUUCGGGUUGUAAAGCUCUUUCAGCCGGAACGAAACGGUUACGGUUAAUACCCGUGACUACUGACGGUACCGGAAGAAGAAGCACCGGCUAACUACGUGCCAGCAGCCGCGGUAAUACGUAGGGUGCAAGCGUUAAUCGGAAUUACUGGGCGUAAAGCGUGCGCAGGUGGUUUUGUAAGUCAGAUGUGAAAUCCCCGGGCUUAACCUGGGAACU